GGAAGCGCAGCCCGAAGGGGCCCGCGCGCCCGGCAGUCCAGACAAAGCUGCGACCGCAGAGCGGCGCUUUUCCUGUCCGGCCCACGGGGGACAGCGAGCUCGGACCCGCCACACGCGGGGCCAGCCCUUCUGUUCGCGGAGCCGUGGGGUGCGGGCCGCCGCGUCAUCCCACCGCUGCGCGCUCGCCUCAGGCCCCCGCGGGCCUCUCCUCAGCCGGCCCGGCCGUCGGGCCGCACGAAACAAAGGAGCCGCCGCCGCCGCGCCCGCCGCCCCGCGUCCCUUCGCCCCGCGCGACCGGCCCGCUCCCCGCAGCCUCCCCCGGGGCCGCGCGCCACCCGCCCGCGGCCCUUCGACGGCAAGGCCCGGGCCAGAGCCGGGACCUCGGGUGCGCGGCCGGCCAGCCCCGGGGCCGCACUCACCGCUGCAGCACCAGGACGACGGGGAGCCGUUGGGGAACUUGGCUGAGUCCGGGGCGAUGCAGACGCUGGAGCUGAGGUGCGGACACUCCAUGGCCACGAGGACGGCGGCGGGGACGGCCGAGGCUGUGGGGCGGAGGGACUUCGGAGGCUCCGUCUGGGGUCGCUCCUAGCCCGGCGCUGGGCAGACGGCGGCUGCUUCGUCCCGAGCCUUUGCGUCAAAGAAAGCAAGGGCUUCCGGGCGCCGGGUUUUGCCACACGCCGUCUCCCGGCGCCCCGCUCCGGAGAACGUGGAAAUCUGGACUCCUGGUUCUGCCGCCGCCCGGAGACAGUAAGCUUCCGCCUUCUCUAGCUGGCCCCGCCCACCCUACUGGUUACGCCCCCAGAUAUGGCCCCGCCCCCGCGCUAGGCGGCGGGCGGGGGGCGGGGCCUUGGCUCUUACGUUCCGCUGGAGUAGAGUCCCACCCGGCUGUUGUGAAGUGACUUUCUCAACUCAGACCGCCCCGAGCAGCGGCCGCCGCAGCUUCUUGGGACCCCAGCAAACGUGGGUACUCAGUCUGGGCAGACCGGUCGGGACUGCUGCGUCUACUGCAGUGAAUCUGACUACUACAGCGAGGCUUGGAAAGAGAGUAUGUGGCCACAUUGCAAAGUGUGCGGAAAAUGAAAAACAGUCGUACGGACGGACAAGCAUUGAAGCCGCAUUUUACACAGGAAGAAACAGGCUAGGGGACUUUGUGGGAGUGGCCCUCGGUGGCCCAGCCGGCUGCAGGGGCCCCAGAACAGUCCUGACUUUUCAUGGUCUCCCUGUAGCGGGUGCGGUCCGGAACCAUUCUGAGUUCUGAACUCUGGCCUGAGCGCGUCACCUGGAUGCUGCAUGGCUGGGCCCCGCAGGACAGCCGGGGUACCUGGGUCAGGUGAAGGCUGCUUCCUUGGGAAGAGAGAGAAGAGUAAACAAUAUCUGACCCCUA